rnacentral:rRNA from 1 species
UACAGAGGGUGCGAGCGUUAAUCGGAAUUACUGGGCGUAAAGCGUGCGUAGACGGCUAUCUAAGUCGGGUGUGAAAGCCCCGGGCUCAACCUGGGAAUUGCAUUCGAGACUGAAUAGCUAGGGUACGGUAGAGGGAAGUGGAAUUUCCGGUGUAGCGGUGAAAUGCGUAGAUACUCUGGAGGAACACCGGUGGCGAAGGCGGCAUCCUGGACCGGCAUUGACGCUGAGGCGCGAAAGCCGGGGAGCAAACGGG